UGCAGUCGAACGCUUUUUCUUUCACCGGAGCUUGCUCCACCGAAAGAAAAAGAGUGGAGAACGGGUGAGUAACACGUGGGUAACCUGCCCAUCAGAAGGGGAUAACACUUGGAAACAGGUGCUAAUACCGUAUAACACUAUUUUCCGCAUGGAAGAAAGUUGAAAGGCGCUUUUGCGUCACUGAUGGAUGGACCCGCGGUGCAUUAGCUAGUUGGUGAGGUAACGGCUCACCAAGGCAACGAUGCAUAGCCGACCUGAGAGGGUGAUCGGCCACACUGGGACUGAGACACGGCCCAGACUCCUACGGGAGGCAGCAGUAGGGAAUCUUCGGCAAUGGACGAAAGUCUGACCGAGCAACGCCGCGUGAGUGAAGAAGGUUUUCGGAUCGUAAAACUCUGUUGUUAGAGAAGAACAAGGAUGAGAGUAAAUUGUUCAUCCCUUGACGGUAUCUAACCAGAAAGCCACGGCUAACUACGUGCCAGCAGCCGCGGUAAUACGUAGGUGGCAAGCGUUGUCCGGAUUUAU
rnacentral:rRNA from 1 species